UACGUAGGUGGCGAGCGUUGUCCGGAAUUACUGGGUGUAAAGGGCGUGUAGGCGGGAAUGUAAGUCAGAUGUGAAUUGCCAAGGCUUAACCUUGGAGCUGCAUCUGAAACUGCGUUUCUUGAGGGUCGGAGAGGAAAGUGGAAUUCCUAGUGUAGCGGUGAAAUGCGUAGAUAUUAGGAGGAACACCAGUGGCGAAGGCGACUUUCUGGACGAUAACUGACGCUGAGGCGCGAAAGCGUGGGGAGCAAACAGG
rnacentral:rRNA from 1 species